rnacentral:lncRNA from 10 species
GCUCGGAGAGGUGCUCGGAUUCUCGUAGCUGUGCCGGCCCACAAUGAUUCUGAGCUAAAACACAAAAUAAAAACCAGAUUCAUUGCCACCAGCGCUCACCUCGCCUGACUUAAAAAAAAGUUUCGUACAACAGACACUCCUUGACACCAAGGAUCUUUCACUUAAUCCCUCAAAAAUAAAGACUCGAGCUGGGUGCGGUGGCUCACGCCUGUAAUUCCAGCACUUUGGGAGGCCGAGGCAGGUGGAUCACGAAGUCAGGAGUUCAAGACCAGCCUGCACAAGGACUUAACCACCACCAUGUCGAGCAAAAGAACAAAGACCAAGACCAAGAAGC